GACGAACGCUGGCGGCGUGCUUAACACAUGCAAGUCGAACGGGCCUGUCUUCUUUUUUGGGGGUGGGUUGAGUGGCGAACGGGUGAGUAUCACGUGAGUAACCUGCCCUUCGGUCCUGGAUAACCGCUUGAAAGGGCGGCUAAUACGGGGUGGUCCGGUUGGUCCGCAUGGGCUGGUCGGGAUAGAUUCACUGUUUUUGGUGUUUCGGCGGGGGAUGGGCUCGCGGCCUAUCAGCUUGUUGGUGGGGUGAUGGCCUACCAAGGCGGUGACGGGUAGCCGGCCUGAGAGGGUGGGCGGCCACCCUGGGACUGAGAUACGGCCCAGACUCCUGCGGGAGGCAGCAGUGGGGGGUAUUGCACAAUGGGCGGAAGCCUGAUGCAGCGACGUCGCGUGAGGGAUGGAGGCCUUCGGGUUGUGAACCUCUGUUUCCGGUGGUGAAGGCCCUGUCCGUGUGGUGGGGUUGACGGUAGCCGGGGAUGAAGCGCCGGCUAACUACGUG
rnacentral:rRNA from 1 species